UACGACCACAUCACGUUGAAACACAACUUCCCGUCCGAUCGCCGAAGUUAAGCAAUGUCGAGCCUGAUUGAUAUCUACAUGGGUGACCGCUUGAGAAUACCAGGUGCUGUAAG